rnacentral:rRNA from 1 species
AGAGUUUGAUCAUGGCUCAGAUUGAACGCUGGCGGUAUGCUUAACACAUGCAAGUCGAACGAUGAAAUUCCAGCUUGCUGGAAUUGAUUAGUGGCGGACGGGUGCGUAACGCGUGGGAAUCUACCUUAUAGUGGGGGAUAGCCCGGAGAAAUCCGGAUUAAUACCGCAUAAUCUCUACGGAGCAAAGUGGGGGAUCUUCGGACCUCACGCUAUUAGAUGAGCCCGCGUUAGAUUAGCUUGUUGGUGAGGUAAUGGCUCACCAAGGCAACGAUCUAUAGCUGGUUUGAGAGGAUGAUCAGCCACACUGGGACUGAGACACGGCCCAGACUCCUACGGGAGGCAGCAGUGGGGAAUAUUGGACAAUGGGCGCAAGCCUGAUCCAGCAAUACCGCGUGUGUGAAGAAGGCCUGAGGGUUGUAAAGCACUUUCAAUAGAGACGAAAAGCCUGAGGUUAAUAACCUCG